CCAGUGCAAGUGUGGAGUGGAGGCUUGUGCUGUGGAUGGAGAGCAGUGGGUGGCUGGGCCAUGGUGAAACUCAUGAAACACACUCAGACUCUGAAUGCCGACCACCUCUGCUUCCGCCUGGUUCCCUGCCCGCAGCCCUGCUGUCUUGAGGAGGAAUGAACACAAACAGACCAGGAGCUGGGGGAUGGACCGUGUCCCUUCUAGCCAAGAUUUUGGAAAAUGCAGAGUGGAAUGCUCUUUUUUCUUUUGAAGCAGAAAAGCUGUUGGGUGGCUCACAGAAUCACCAGGAAGAGGAACACGCAGACCUUCCAAAGGCACAGGAACAAAAGGAAGAACCCCAGGCAAAAUCACUCCCCAGAACUACUGCUGAGGCCCUGCUGGCUCCUGGGUGUUGCCCAAAGAGAGAAAGAAUAUUCUGCCUUCUUUCCUGGGACUGGAAUUCUCCUCCACUUGGGACUACCCAGAUCUUGUUCCCAGAUGCCUCUUGGAAUACUUAGUGGAGAAAUGCUGGCUCACUGGUCCUCAGACCUGGAAGAAUCCUGGAGCUUCAGAACCACAGAUACCUACCGGGAUCACUUGAUGGUCCAUGGCACUAUGGACUCUGGAGGGAGACCUUUGUAAUAAAUCCCAGCUCUGCAGCUGACUAGCUGUGCGACCUGGGGUAAGAAACAUUAUGUCUUCAUGCCUUGGUUUGUUCAUCUGUAGAAGGGGUGUAACAACAAUGUUACCCUCAUAGGUAAGGAAUGAAUGAGAAGUGCAUGGAUGCCACUUGGCAGACGGUUAAGUGCUCAAUAGAUGGGAAGCAGUAGCAGCAGCGACA
rnacentral:lncRNA from 1 species